rnacentral:lncRNA from 13 species
AGAUUGGGUUGGUAACAUUGAAGAGACACUUCUCACCUGCCUGAAAUGCCCUACGUUAUCUUCAAGUUGCAAGGGCUCUGGAACAGCCCUUGCAGUGCUCCCGUAAAGGGAGCCUUGGGAGGAGCCUGAAUCACUGAUGGAAUUGGACGGUGCAUGGAGAUGGUUGGGCAGGAUGAGGGUAAGUGCAGGGGCGUGGCCAGGUCAUACUGGGAGACAAUGAGCGGCAUUGAUGGAGACAGACAAUGAUCGAGAAGAUCACGAUGAAGAACAAAAAUACAGAGACAGCAAAAAUAAACUUCUUAUCAGUCAAGUGGCGUACUACCUGGCCUGCCGGCUGAGGAUGAAAGGUGAGUUCUGUAGGUUCACCAUUACGGAAGUCCUGGACAGUGUUCUGUCUUGUCUCUGACAACUGCUCUACUCUCUUCUUCAGUCUAAUUUUAUCACUCACAGACUUCUAGGAAGGUAGCAAUUGGUAUUUUAACAUUUCCUUAAAGACGUAACACACAGGCAAAAUUAUUUAGCAACUUUCCACAUCUGCAGUAAGACAGGUGUGAGAUUGGGUGAACAUCCCAGAUACUGAUUUCCAACACGGGAACCAAAACACCUGCUUUUCUCUGCAGGAGGCUAAAUCAUGUUUACAGGAAUCUUAUCCAUACCAUAUAAGAUCCUUUAGAACUGAAAAACAGGAUCAAGGUAGAAAUGUUUAUGUCCUGGCUUCAAGGUAAAUGAGUAGCUAAGACAAGUUGACUCUAAGGUGAUCGAGAGUGCAGAUGAGAAGACUAAUUUGGGGAAAUAACAUCUUGAAAUCAAUAGGCAAGGCUGUCAGUGACAUCUCAGUCCUGAUUAAACCAAUUUGAUGUCACCAGUUUCUAACCCACCAUGUGUUGGGUUUCUUCCUUCCAGUCCCUGGCUUUCUGUAUUGUUACCCAAACAUCAGCAAGGUGGAUUCCGGUAAGCUUCCUUCCAGAAAAGACCCAGAGGUGAAUGUUCCAGAAGCCAUUGUGAAAUCCUGCUCCCAGCGGGAAGAUAACAAACCGGAUGUUGGAGUCCGCCGAAAUAGAUGUCUUCUGAGUGAGGUGAACUACUCCCUGAACUACCGGCUGAGGGCAUACGGUGAUCAAGAUUAUAAUGAAAAACGGAAAUACAGAGAAAGCAAAAAUAAGCAUUUUACAAGUCAAGCGGCCUUCUGCCUGGGCUCUUGGCUGAAGACGGAAGUCCCUGGCUUUCUGUGUUCUGCCCCAAACGUCCACAUGGUGGCGUCUGGCAGGCCUUCUUCCAGAAUACACCCAGAGGUGAACUUUCCAGAAGGCAUUGAGAAAUUCUGCUCACAACAGGAAGAAAACAAACCAAAUGUCGGAGCCAGCAAAAACAGACUUCUUCUGAGCCAGGUGGCCUACUUCCAGAACUACCGGCUGAAGACAGACAAAGAUCGAAAAGGUCAUGACGAAGAACAGAAAUACAGAGACAGGAAAAAUAAACUUCUUAUGAGUCAAGUUGCCUACUACCUGGGCUGCCAGCAUAAGACGGAAGGUAAGUUCCAUAGGUUCAGCAUCACAGAAGUGGUCAACAAUGUUUUUUCUUUUCUCUGAGGAAUUAUACACUCUCUUCAAAGUUAAUUUCAUCCUCAUACUUUUAGGAAAAUAGCAAUGGGUAUUUUAACAUUUUGUUAAAGACGUAACACAGAGGCGAAACUAUGUAGCAACUUUUGCACAUCUGUAGUAAGACAUGUGUGAGACUAGGGUUAACAUCCAGCUAUUGAUUCCUAACACAGGCACCAAACCACCUGCUUUUCUCUGCAAGAGGCUAAAUCAUGUUUAUAGAAAUCUUCUGCAUACCAUAUAAGAUCCUUCAGAACUUAUAAGAAGAAAGAGGUAGAAAUGUUUAUGUACUGGCUUCAAUUUGAAUGAGUAGCUAAGACAACUUAACUUUAAGGAGAGUGGAGAUGAGAAGAGUAAUUCGGGGAAGUAACAUCUUUAAAUCAGUAGGCAAGGCUGUCAGUGUCAUCCCUCAGUCCUGAUUGAACUAAUUUGAUGUCACCAGAUUCUAACCCACCAUGUGUUUGUGUUUCUUCUCCCCAGUCCCUGGCUCUCUGUUAUCUUGUUCAAACAUCAGCAAGGGGGCAUCUGGCCGGCCUCCUUACAGAAAAUACACAGAGGUGAACGUUCCAGAAGGCAUUGAGAAAUCCUACUCCCAGCAGGAAGAUAAACUGAAUGUCAGAGUCAGCAAAAAUAGAUGUCUUCUGAGUGAGGCGAACUACUCCCUGAACUGCCGGCUGAAGACCUACAGUAAGUUCUAUUGUAUGGAUGAGUAAGUACUGACCCAUUGGUUCAGUCUCCUAUAUAAAUUUCUCUAACCAUUCCUUGACCAUGAUAUAAUGAGAUAGAUGAGUAUUGCAGCAACCCUUCUGGAAAGUAGGGCAAGUUUUGAAGAUUUUGGGAAAAAAGUUUUAAUUGUUUGCACUGACUUAAGUCUUAGGAUAUGGGAUUGAUUUCUACAAGAUGAGACAGAUUUUGUCCCGUGGAUCUGAAAAGCAGGCUCAUCUGCUUCUGAGGCAACUUAAUCUCGGGCCCAUUAGAACAUUCCCAUCAU